GAGAGGGAGAGAGAGAGAGAGAGAGAGAGAGAGAGAGAGAGGGAGAGGGAGAGGGAGAGAGAGACUCUUGAGUGGCAGGCAGAUAGAUUGAUAGACAUAGCGACCAAGAGAGGUAGAUAAGAGGGGGCAGACAGAAAAUCAAGGAAAUAGACGAUAGAUAGGAACAGAAAGCCAUGUCAAUAGAUUGAGAAGGACAGGGGGCGAGAUUGAGAGGAAGAACUGGGGGUAUCUGGCCUGGAAUGUUAAUAUUAAUCUCUCAACCUCUUCUACAGAGUUUAUCCAUGUGCUUUUCGCUCUUUGAUACGUACCACAGUGAAGUGCCUUUAAAUAUAUGCUCACACACGUCCUCCCUGUUAUUAGGACGGUCUUUAAAUAGGUUUGGGAUGGCUGAAAUGGUAUUAAUACAAACAGUGUUUGUGUGAUCCAAUGCGAGUUAGACUGGCAUCUUGUUAUUGAGUACAAGGGGCAGACAGACAGACAGACAGACAGACAGACAGACAGACAGACAGUUAAAUUGCUUAGAAUCAGUGUAAUGGUCGAUAAAAUUGUCGAGGAGUAAAAUAUGGCCCAGGAGCAGAUGAAGGGCAGGGGUACAGCAGGUCUUGUGCGGUUCUGAGGCGGUCUGCUUCAGUUGGGUUUUGAAUGUUGAGAGUAAUUGAUGGUCCCUUUACUACUCCAACCACUCGAAGCUCUCAUCGCAUCCACGGCACACUCGAGUUAGUCUCCAGAACAGUUCCCCCGCACAUCCUCCAAACACAUUGACGGGUCAGUUCAAUAUACAAACCCCUCCACAUUCUCCCUGGGACAGGAAGCAGUGCAUUGUGGGACGGCGAGAUGAUUGAAGAGUGCCCUUAUGAGGAACUAGCUUGGCCUUUUAAAAGUCUGGGUCGGCCUGCCAGAGCAGUUUAAUUACGAUCUUGUGGUAUUUGAAGGUCAAUAUCAAAAGAUUAAAAAAAGGAAACAGCCAGGGUUUAAAAGUUGUGAGAAUCAAGGGCCGUACACUUAAACAAAAAUAGUCCUUGUAGUGCUUUGAGCGUUGUGGGAGAUGUAGUUCUUUAGUGGUUGACUAACCAUGUGAGAGUUUGGACAGGAUCUCAGAGUGAGGAUGGCUAGGGGAGUGAUGUUUAGAUUGCGUUUUACGUUUCCAAACAUGAAACAUCUCUUCUUUGUUGGCUAUCCGGGAGUAGGACACCCUCUUAGAAUCAGAGAAAGACGUGUAUUUUGUGGUUGUAACUCUUUGGAUUUCGUGGCUUCCUCCACCUUGCCAGAGCAAUCGUGGAUGUCCCCAGAGAUCACUCACCUUGUGCUGUAUGAGAGAGAUCUCUAUUAUCUGGAUGUUAGUCUAUCUCUGGUUCGGAGUACCGUAAUCAUGGACACCCAUCUGAAGGGAAGAUGUAUUCAGAUCAUUCAGGUAUUUCACCCACUCAAACCUUUUCCCCAGUCUCCAAAAGGGAGUGGAUAAGUGCCUAUUUAACAGUACUCUGUUUUCUUAAACGACUUCAUGGCCUUAAUACAUUUCACGCAGCGAUGUAGGAAGCGGAGACAUUACACAGAAAUCCCAAAAAGCCAAAAAGAUAUUCUUUCAAUUCCAGAUGAACAAAGAUGCACUGUUUUUUUAGUGCAGCUUUCACUAAUCCCGUUUUUUAACGUAUAUCCUGAUCCGGAUCGAUUACUCGCAUCAUCCCGAUGGAACGCUCUCCUAAUCCCAAGUGGUGGUGGUUGUUUUCCGCCGUAACGCUAUCGCUCUCAUUACGAGGAAGAGAAUUACAGCAGUUUCUCUUUUGACUUUCUUUCUCGUGCUUUUGCUGUACUCGUCUCCCUUUCUGGCGACCAAUCAGAUAAUCCAUUUUGCUGCGGUAAGCCUUUGAGUUUUCUGACCCAAAUUCCUUAUCUGAGUAUCUGUGCCACGGAAAUGUGUUACUAGCGAGAUCUCUCGCCAUCCAGCGAGGCCCUGAAGUGAUGCCCGGCUGUCCAAGGGUAACUUCUGAUGUCAUCGUGCACUGUUGCAUCAUGGGAAUUAGGAGCAUCACUUGGCCAAAGAGGAUUAAAGGCCGACAUUGGGACGUAUUAUACUGAGAUACCUAGCACAAACCGGCACAACGUGUACUCCUUGGAUGAGACUUUAGCAUCGACUCGUUUUGUAAGCGACUC
ensembl:lncRNA